AUUGAACGCUGGCGGCAGGCCUAACACAUGCAAGUCGAACGAGUGGCGGACGGGUGAGUAAUGUCUGGGCAACUGCCUGAUGGAGGGGGAUAACUACUGGAAACGGUAGCUAAUACCGCAUACCAUCAGAUGUUCCCUGAUGGGAUUAGCUUGUUGGUGGGGUAACGGCUCACCAAGGCGACGAUCCCUAGCCGGUCUGAGAGGAUGACCAGCCACACGGGAACUGAGAAACGGUCCAGACUCCUACGGGAGGCAGCAUUGGGGAAUAUUGGACAAUGGGGGCAAGCCUAAUGCAGCAAUGCCGGGGGUAGGAGGAAGGCCUUCGGGUUGUAAAGUACUUUCAGCAGGGAGGCGGUACCCGCAGAGGAAGCACCGGCUAACUCCGUGCCAGCAGCCGCGGUAAUAC
rnacentral:rRNA from 1 species